UACGUAGGGUGCAAGCGUUAAUCGGAAUUACUGGGCGUAAAGCGUGCGCAGGCGGUUGUGCAAGACAGAUGUGAAAUCCCCGGGCUUAACUCGGAACGGUCAAGUGAUACUGUCGGACUAGAGUACAGAAGGGGCAACUGGAAUUCUCGGUGUAGCGGUGAAAUGCGUAGAUAUCGAGAGGAACACCUGCGGCGAAGGCGGGUUGCUGGGCUGAUACUGACGCUGAGGCGCGAAAGCCAGGGGAGCGAACGGG
rnacentral:rRNA from 1 species